CUUUGAAGAUGAAUUUUUGGAGUUCCAAAAUGGUCGAAGAGCUAAAACGAGGCGAAGGUCUGAGGAAAAUGGGAGCUUACAAGAGGUCAUUAGAAAAAUUGAUCAACUAAAACAAGCUUCUGAGACCCUCCAAGAUGUCACUGGCACAAUAAACCUUCUGGCUGACCUUGCAAAAGUUAAAAGCACAGCAGCCAGACAAGAUGACCGCCUGCCCCAUGUUAUGGAUGCCCUGAGCUGUCUUGUUUGUAAAGGUCUAAUGGCGGAGCCAAUGUUUUCCACAUGCUGUCAGUCUCUGCUGGGAUGCCGAACAUGUGUGGAGCAGUGGCUGUUAAAUACAGACUACUGUCUGAAAUGCAGAGCAGACGAGUUUGAGUUCAAGGUACACCAGGUCAAAGGUCUUAAUGCUGUUGUGGCCUUCUUCAAAGAGACAAACACAGAAUAGUUGAUGAUAGAAGGAUAAUUUAUUUUCUCAUGGAAAAUGUUGCCAAAGAGCUUAAACCGUUCUGUUUUUCUUCAAAUACAUCAAGUUUGAUGCUAUGUUCCUUCAU